CAGCACCUCAAGUGGUCAGGAUGAUUAUUGGGCCUAAAGCAUCCGUAGCCGGCGCUGUAAGUUUUCGGUUAAAUCUGUACGCUCAACGUACAGGCUGCCGGGAAUACUGCAGCGCUAGGGAGUGGGAGAGGUAGACGGUACUCGGUAGGAAGGGGUAAAAUCCUUUGAUCUAUUGAUGACCACCUGUGGCGAAGGCGGUCUACCAGAACACGUCCGACGGUGAGGGACGAAAGCCAGGGGAGCGAACCGGAUUAGAUACCCGAGUAGUCC
rnacentral:rRNA from 1 species